GCUCCGUUGGUGAACCGGCGGAGGGAUCAUUACAGAGUUGCAAAACUCCCAAACCAUUGUGAACGUUACCUAUCCCGUUGCUUCGGCGGGCGGCCCGGGCCCCGCGCCCGGCGCCCCCCGGCCCCCCGUGGGCGCCCGCCGGAGGUAAACCAAACCCUUGAAUUGCAUGGCCUCUCUGAGUCUUCUGGACUGAAUAAGUCAAAACUUUCAACAACGGAUCUCUUGGUUCUG
rnacentral:misc_RNA from 1 species